GGUCAAAAUAUCUUCAUUUGCUUUUUAUACAAUCUGCUAAUUAGAUUUUAAAAAUGUAUUAAUGCAUGAUCAAGACAAAAAUGUAAGUUCUACAUAAUGAUGAAAAUAUAUUUAUAUAUUUUAAACAUACCAGCUGUUUAAUUAAUAAAAAUACGUCUUUUCCUGUUUUGAGACUUGUUGUAAGUAUGAAUAUUAUUACUAUGGUAUUUAAUUGUUAAAGGGACACUCCAGACCCCUAAAGCACUUUAGCUUGAUGAAAAGCUUUAAGUGUGAAGAGUGUGUCAUCUUUAUUUCAUUUUGCAAAAAGUGCAGAUUUCAGUAGAAAUUGGCACUUUUAUGAAGUAACCUGGUUGCACCUCGCUGGCUGUCAAACAGGUCCUUUUACUUCCUGGUUGGUUAGCUCAUUGGAACUAAACUUAGAUGGAUCAAUUGCCCAGAGCACCUGCCUGGCAAAGACUUCUCAAUGAGCUGCAUUGGGAAGUCUGUGAUCGUACAGCCACAAAGUCUGGGCAGGUUUAAAGGGGGAGGAAUUGCAACAGCAGAACUGCAACUUUUGCAAGCUAUUUUUAGAAAAAAUGCUUUUCAUUUGGGGUAUAUCUUCUAAACAGUGAUAUUCAUUUUGUAUUUGGGCAAUGGAGUGUCCCUUUAAAGGUACGAUAAUGAUUUUCAUAACUAAGUAUAGUUAAAAUUACACAAAAAUUGGUUUCUACAUGUGGCUGUUUUAAGAAUCCAGAGAUUUUAUUGCAGCAUUUUACCUCUAUUGUAAUGUUUGACAUUGAUCUGAAUUCUUUGCAGUUACUGAAAUAAUUACUUAUUAAGCAAAUCUAAAGUAUUUAAGAGCAUAAAUAUAAGUGGUUUCCUGUUACAGAGAGAAAGUAUACAAUGCAUUCACAGUUUAUUUCAAAGUAAAAUGGGUGUUAGUUUUCAAUUGCUGUCUAAAUUAUCUUGAAAUAACACAGACACCGAAUUAUCACUAUUCUUCUUUGUGAAUACAUUGGCGUUCUUUUCCUGCAGUGCUGUAAAAAGGAAUCCAAUAUUACAUAUUCAUUUUUUUAUGCAGAAAAUAAUAUCAUUAUCAUUUUAAUGAACUCGAAACACCCAAUGUGAUGGCUAACGGUAAUGCUAAAAUUAAGAUUUCCUGAAGAUUUGGUGAUUUGUAAUAAAAAGCUAUGAUAUAAUAAAGCUGGAUGAUAGGCACCCGUGACCUUCCAACAGAAUGGGAUUUUGAAAGAAAUGCCUCUAUUAUUUCUAUUAAACUUUUCAGUAUAUUUUUAAGACUUUUUAGAAGAGCAGAACAUUACCAAUGAAGAAAAAUACAUCGGAUGUGAGACAGCUAAUUAGCGCGAUGUGUUAAGAAAUACCAGUUAGGUCCUGGCAUGCCCAGCUUUCUUACAAUUUAAAGGGACACUGUUGGUGCUAUAACCACUUCAAUGGAUUAAUGUGUUUGUGUGGAAUUCAAACACCAGGUCCCGCGUCAAUGUUAAACGUUUUACUUGCCGUUUAGCAGAGAUGCUAAAUUCCUGGAAGCCUGCACUAUGGCACCCAGUCACAAUAUGGCAAAGGUGUUGUUAUGCUCUGCUUUACGUCGAUACUAGGGGGUAGUGGGAAGUGACAAGCUAAAAGUAUCAGCUAAACAUGUUCAGCAUUUCACAGCCCCAAUCCCUGGUAUGAAUUGGUAUGGCAUGAGGCAGACUCCAGGCACCAUAACAACUUCAAUCCACUGAAGUGCUGAUGGUGAAUACAGUGUCCAUUUAAAGCACCUUUAAGUGAUAUCAAAAUGACAAUAAUAAAGAUAAAUGCCAGUUGAA
rnacentral:lncRNA from 1 species